ensembl:lncRNA
UUUGGCAUCUUGAGCAAGGAUAUUGUUGUAGUGACCGACAAUGGUUCAAAUGUGGUCGCAGCUUUCAAAGAUUACACCAGACUGUCCUGUGCAGGCCAUAACAUUAACCUGAUUCUUAAAUACACAUUUGACCAUUUGGAUGUGGAGAACCCACAGCACAGCCCAGUCAUCAACCUGUUUCAGGAUGUGAAGACCCUGGUUACACACUUCAAACAAGCAGGAUUACACUUAAGCAAGCAGUAGAAACGAGGUGGAAUACCAGACUUGCAAUGCUGCAAUCAGUAAGGGAUGCUCUGCUGUCUGGUAAGCUGCAUGAGGUCCUGCUUCGCCGAAAUGAACUCCGGUAUGUCAACAACAUAGACCUAGAACUUCUUGAAGACAUUAUCCGCCUUCUGGAACCUUUUGAUGAGGCUACAAGGCACCUCUCCACUGAUCAGACACCUAGUCUUCACCUUGUCCUCCCAACCAAAGGCAACCCUGCUGAGGGGUUUGUUGCUUCAGGAUGGAGACAGUGCUAUUGUGAAAGAGGUGAUCUACCAUUCCUAGUGACCACAGUCACAGAGGUGCACAGUUUCUUCUCAAGCUGUGUGCAGGAGGAGGAGAGGGAGGACUGUGGUAACACUAACGAGUCAUUGACCCGUGAAUUGGUGCUGAAAUACAUGAAUGAGCCUACAAAGAUGACCGUCCGCGGCCAGUCCCUUCUCAACUUCUGGCAGGAGAUGUCAGGUGGGCUGGUGCCAGUUGCCAGGAAGCUGCUGGCAAUCCCAGCAACAAGUACUCCAUCAGAGAGGAGCUUCAGUGUUGCUGGAAGAUUAAUUGAGGAGAGGCGCACCAACCUCAGUCCAGAAUCUGUGGACACUCUCUUGUUCUUGCAUAGCAACAGUGGGACUCCAUCUUAA